UGGGGAAUAUUGGGCAAUGGGCGCAAGCCUGACCCAGCAAUGCCGCGUGGGUGAAGAAGGUCUUCGGAUUGUAAAGCCCUUUCGGCGGGGACGAUGAUGACGGUACCCGCAGAAGAAGCCCCGGCCAACUUCGUGCCAGCAGCCGCGGUAAUACGAAGGGGGCUAGCGUUGCUCGGAAUCACUGGGCGUAAAGGGCGCGUAGGCGGCCCUGCUUGUCGGGCGUGAAAUCCCGGGGCUCAACCCCGGGGCUGCGCCCGAGACGGCGGGGCUUGAGUGCGGGAGAGGGCCGCGGAAUUCCCAGUGUAGAGGUGAAAUUCGUAGAUAUUGGGAAGAACACCGGUGGCGAAGGCGGCGGCCUGGCCCGUGACUGACGCUGAGGCGCGACAGCGUGGGGAGCAAACA
rnacentral:rRNA from 1 species